CAGACACCCAGAGCAAUAACACGGGCUGGCCACGCAGAUCUUUUAUGGAGGCCUCUGUAGAGAGAUGAUUAACCCUACCUGCUGGCAGCAUCAGAAACAACCGGAAGGCCAGGGACUGAAGUAGGUCAGAGGGAAGGAAACCCUCAAACCAGCUUUCUUCCUGGCAAUGCAGGGCAGGGGUUAAGGGCGGGGGCUCCUAAGUCAUCGCCUUUGCGUGCUGGUCCUCGGUCCGCCACCCAUCGGCUGUGAACCUGGGCGUGUCGUCUGACUGCUGACCUGCGUGGAAUUUAAGCUCGAUGAAAGCAAGGACUUCUGUCUGUUCUGUUUGCCCCUGCAUUCUGGUGCCUAAAACAACGCCUGACACAGGGAUUUCUCUGGGGACUGUGUGGCAGAUAGCAAAGGUGGACAAGGAUGGAAGCUGGGAGACUCCUUGUGAAGACCUGAUGACAACUCUGGGAAAGGGUGGAUGAAGAUGGAAAGUGUCUGGAGAGAGCGUGAUAACCACCUUCAUUCAACAAAAUUUAUUAAGUCUCGGGGGGAGGGUGUAGCUCAAGUGGUAGAGUGCGUGCUUAGCGUGCAGGAGGUCCUGGGCUCAACCCCCAGUACGUCCUCUAAAAAUAAAUAAAUAAAUAAAUAAAUAAAUAAAUAAAUAAAUAAAUAAAUAAAUAAACAAACAAACAAACAAACAAACAA